rnacentral:rRNA from 1 species
GGAUAACUGUAGUAAUUCUAGAGCUAAUACAUGCAAAAAAACCUGGACUUUACAGAACAGGUGUACUUAUUAGACUUUAAAACCGAUUACAAUUUAUUGUAAAUUUAAAAUGAAUUAAAAUAAGUUUAUGAAUCGCAGAUCAUUUUGUGAUGAUAAGAAUGAAUUUCUGCCCUAUCAACUUUCGAUGGUAAUGUAGUGGAUUACCAUGGUGAUGACGGGUAACGGGGAAUUAGGGUUUGAUUCCGGAGAAAAGGCCUGAGAGACGGCCAUUACUUCUAAGGAAGGCAGCAGGCGCGUAAAUUACCCAAUCCUAAUACGGGGAGGUAGUGACAAGAAAUAUUGAUAUUGGACCCAAAGGGUACAAUGAUUGAAAUGAGAACAAUAUAAAAAACUUAACGACUAACAAUUGGAGGGCAAGUCUGGUGCCAGCAGCCGCGGU